UCUCCGUAACGCUAAAGUUGACAAUGGAUGCCUUGGGUGUUCAUGCCGAGGAAGGACGCAUACGGCGGCGAUACUCGUCGGGUAGGAGCCAUAAUCCUAUGAUCCGGCGGUUUCCGAAUGGGGAAACCCGUCCCGCUUUGCGGGACAAUCUACUAUAAAGGCGGUCUGCACACCGUGAAUCCAAAUUAGUCUUAUGAGACAAAUAGGACUUAUUGGAUCUAUGGUGUGCAGACUGAGAUAGUAGUAGGUGGGGUACCGUCCGAACUGAAACAUCUCAGUAGGACGAGGAAAAUAAAUCAAGUACGAGAUUCCGUUAGUAGCGGCGAGCGAAAGCGGAAGAGCCUAAACCCAGUCAUUGUCCCGCUAUACGGGAUCGACCGGGGGUUGCAGGGCUUCUGACAUGGGAUGAGAUGCGGGUAGCAGAACUGCUUGGAAUAGCAGACCAAAGAACGUGAAAGUCGUGUACGCAAAACUCAAGUCUCCCCUAGGGAGUUCCUAAGUACCAUGGGACACGAAGGUUCUGUGGGAAUCUGGGUCAACCACGAUCCAAGGCUAAAUACAUGAACACACCGAUAGUGAACAAGUACCGUGAGGGAAAGGUGAAAAGCACCCCGGAAGGGGAAUGAAAUAGUACCUGAAAUUGUCAACUAACAAACAGACAGAGUCCCGCUUUGCGGGAUAAUGUCGUGCCUAUUGAAGAAUGAACCGGUGAGUUACCAAUGAUUUUGCAAGUCUAACCCCGCUAAGCGGGGGGAGGCGAAGUGAAAGCGAGCCCUAACAGGGCGACAAUCAAGCAGACAUUGGUAGACCCGAAACCAGGUGAGCUAACCAUGGGCAGGGUGAACCCCGCCGAAAGGCUGGGGGAGGCCCGAACUCGUCAGAGCUGCAAAUCUGUGAGAUGACCUGUGGUUAGGGGUAAUAUGCCUAUCGAACCUGGAGAUAGCUGGUUCUCCCCGAAAUAUAUUUUGGUAUAGCGCCCGAUAAAAUUUUUGCUGGGGUAGAGCACUCAAUGAAUUAUCAAGCGCAAGCAAGAUGAUUCAAUGAAACUCCGAAUACAGACAAAAUUACUCGGGCAGUCAGACAUGCUCGGCUAAGCGAGUGUGUCUAAAGGGAAACAGCCCAGACUUUCGUCUAAGGCCUCUAAAUUUAUGCUCAGUGGUUAAGGAUGUCAUGGUUUACAGACACCCAGGAGGUUGGCUUAGAAGCAGCCAUCCUUUAAAGAAAGCGUAACAGCUCACUGGAUGAAAACCGUGGCGCCGAAAAUGAUCGAGGCUAAGCAUAGUGCCGAAGACAGAGAUGCUUGUGCGUAGCACAAGCGUGGUAGGGGAGCGUCCCGCCAACAGUGAAGCCUACGCCGUAAGGCGGGGUGGAGUGGGCGGGAGUGAGAAUGCCGGUAUGAGUAGCGUUUGAAGGUGAGAAUCCUUCAUGCCGAAUGCGCAAGGUUUCCGAAGCAACGUUCGUCGACUUCGGGUAAGUCGGAUCUAAGGCGAGUCCUGCUUAACGCAGGGGUAGCUCGAUGUAGAAACGGUUGAUAUUCCGUUACAGAGAUAUGCUGAUUAAGACUCAAAGGAAUGACAAAGAAGGAUGUGUGUAUAGGUCGAUUCGUUGGCCUUUAAGCUCUAAGACAGUGAGGACAGGGAAAUCCGUUUUCACGUUCAAUUGAGGAGCGAAUAGGAGUCCAAUCCGCAAGGGGCGGGCAACAUACAUAGUUUUUCUUUCGAGAAAAGUUUCGUUGAGGAGCAUGUUUCUUCCGUACCGCAAACCGACACUGGUGCGCCGGUAGAGAAUACCAAGGCAAGCGGGCGACAAUGGUUCAAGGAACUCGGCAACAAAAACUAGGCGUAACCUAUGGGAGAUGCCUUGCCCCGAGCAAUCGGGGCCGCAGUUAAUGACGCUAAGCGACUGUUUAACUAAAACACAGGUCUCUGCAAAGCCGAAAGGCAAUGUAUAGGGGCUGACACCUGCCCAGUGCCGGUAAGUUAAAAAAGGUUGGUGAUCCCGAGCAAUCGGGAAAGCCGAUUUUUUAAGCUCCGGUGAACGGCAGCAGUAACUAUAAAAUACAGUUUUGUAGUUGUAAAAGUUGACUAAAUGCUGGAAGAGCCGUACCGUCGUCGUUAGACGAACGGUUGAAGUAUCUGACGCUACCCCCGCCAUCUAUGCUAAUAUGAUGGUAGGCGGGGGUAACAAUGCGAUCAGUGCGGCAAAUCAGCAGGAAAGACUUGAAUAAGGAAGAACUUGGCUAUUUCUUAGCCGGGUUUGUAGAAGGUGAGGGGAGUUUUAACGUUUCGUUACGGCGGAAAGCUGACUAUAAAGUCAACUGGCAAGUCGUGAUGAGCUUUAAUGUUUCACAGAAGGAUCCGACGAUAUUACAAAUAUUGAAGGAUACACUCAAGUGCGGCAUUAUUAAGGUUCGGAAGCGAGACGGACUCUAUUCAUUUGAUGCUACAAAUCCGGAAGAUUUAAUCAAGCGCGUUAUUCCAUAUUUUCGAAAAUAUUCGGUCCUUUCCGAAUCAAAGAAGCGAAAUUUUGCGAUUUUUUGCAAAAUUGCCGAUUUGAUGGAGAAAGGGGAGCACAGAACUCAGGCCGGAUUAAAGAAAAUCCUAUUUCUUCGGGAAACAAUCAACGAAGGAAAAGGACGAACUCGAAAAUAUGAUAUUGACGAUGUAUUUCCUCUUCAAGAAUCCUCAGAGACUACACGUCAACCCCCGAAAUAAUCGGGGAUGAUAUAGUCCGACCUCAUGGGCGACCAUGAGAUUACGUAACCAACCGUAAUAUAUAACAAAGUGAACUGUUCUAUGGUAGAUUUUUCGCUGCCAUAGUGAGGUAGUCAAACCUCUCUUAUAUUCAUCGUGCAAAAGGAAAGUGAAUAUGAGAAAAAUUGUGCUAUAUGCUGGAAUAACUCGUGUAUCCGACAAUACCUAUAAAGGUAACAAUUUGUUCGGUGGAGUCAAUCAGCAGGAAAGACCCCGACAUUAUGUCGGGAAAUCCUCAACGACUAUACGCACAACCCCGAAGAAAUCGGGGAAGAUAUAGUCUGAUCUCCGAUGCGAAUCGGAGUUAACAAAUGUAUUGAGCGAAGUUCCUUGUCGGGCAAGUUCCGACCCGCACGAAAGGUAGAACGACUUAGCGACUGUCUUGAACCAUUACCCGGCGAAAUUGAAAUGGCUGUGAAGAUGCGGCCUACUCGCACUUGGACAAAAAGACCCCGUGGAGCUUUACUGCAACUUGGCACUGAGGACCUUAUUUUGACUGUCGAGCGUAGGUGGGAGGGACGUACCAUUCGGUACAUCCCGCCAAUGGAACACCACUCUUCGAAAUUGGGAAAUCUAACUUAUCCCGACAUAAAAAUCUCGGGAGAGAACACUGUCUGGUGGGCAGUUUAACUGGGGAGGUUGCCUCCAAAAAAGUAACGGAGGCGUACAAAGGUUGGCUAACCCUGAAUGGAAACCAGGGCUUGUCGUGCAAACGCAGUAAGCCAGCCUGACUGCGAGACAUACAAGUCGAGCAGACGCGAAAGCGGGUGUUAGUGAUCCUCGGAUCCCUCGUGGGAGGGACCGGGCUUAACGGAUAAAAGCUACCCCGGGGAUACAAUCUGUGUCCUUCUUCAUAGCAAUAUGAAGAGAGAGAAUACGGCUAAUAACGGUGAAGCCUACAUUGCGGAAGGGUUUAGGAUAUCUUUUUCCCUUCAUGAGGCGCAAUUUUUGGUAAUACCGUGGGAAGUCGCAUAGAUCGGAAGACUCAGAAUACUCAGAAUGUCAGAAAAUUCAGAAUUCCAGAAUAAUCAGAAGAUCUGAUAAGAUAAAAACUAUGUUACGGGACGUAACAGACUUGUCAGGCGAUGAGCUUGUUACUCAUCUGCGGAUGAUUGCGAUUACAGUUAAAAGAUUAUUUUUUGAAGCAAAGGAGCUUGGUGAAGCAUAUAAAGUUCUAUCGAAGCGCAUUAACAAACUUUAUUCUAUCUGGAAGUCUGGUAAUUUCUGACUCUCUGAAAAUCAGAUUUUCUGAGUCAUUCUGAGUUUUCCGAAUCUGUGUUGACCCCGUAUCGACUGAUUUCCAUUCGUUUAAAAACGAAUCGGAAUGAGAUAGCUCAAUAGUUCAUCACGAGUUAUCAGACGCCGUACCCCCGCUAUCAUGUCGUCAGAACGACACCAGCGGGGUGAAGAUAUAGUCAACACCGGAACGCAAGUUUCGGAUUAUUACUCAUUUAUUUGAGAAAUGUGAACAGGCUGAUCGCUUCCGAGAGUCCAUAUCGACGAGGCGGUUUGGCACCUCGAUGUCGGCUCAUCCUAUCCUGGGGCUGGAGAAGGUCCCAAGGGUCCGGCUGUUCGCCGGUUAAAAGGGUACGCGAGCUGGGUUCAGAACGUCGUGAGACAGUAGACCUAUAGUCAGUGACAUGACUAUAAAUGAGCUGUCCAUCCCUUAACGUUUUGAAUUUCGAGAAAAAUAAGGGAAGCCUAUAAAGGUUAUAAAUCUGACUAAAUGCUGGAAACUCUGAGAAUCUUAAAGUACGUAUUUAUACGUGACAAUCUUUAAGUGCAGACAAUCAGCAGGGAAGAUCCUGAGUUUAUCGAAGGAGACCCUCAGAGACUAUACGUCAGAACCAGCCUCUCGUGAGAAGCUGGUAAGAUAUAGUCCGAACUGUAUGGCGACAUACAGACUGCAGCAGAAAUGUGUGCAGUCCCGUCUUCAUCAUAAAUAUGAAGUAUUGGCGGGAUAACAUAUUUGUCGGUCUCUAUCCAGUGCGAGCGUUCGAUUCUUGAGGGGAGCUCUCCGUAGUACGAGAGGACCCGGAGGGACAGAUCCCUGGUGUGCCAAUUGUCGGAAAACCGGCACCGUUGGGUAGCUAGAUCUGGAAGGGAUAAGCGCUGAAAGCAUCUCAAGCGCCAAGCCCACCCCAAGAUGAAGAAUCGUCACAAGACCCCCAGAAGAUUACUGGGUUUCCCGCUAUUAAGCUCACUGGUGUUCGCUCCAGCGGGACUUUACCGUCCUGUUGGUUAGAACGUCUUUGAACAAGGGAACCCCGAUGGUGUGAGCCGCAAGGCGAACAUGAUAUCGGGGGAUAGGCGAGAAGUGUACGCGCCGCAAGGCGUUUAGCUUACUCGUACUAAUCGGUCGAAGUUAUUGAGAAU
rnacentral:rRNA from 1 species